AUCCUUUUAUGACUCAUGAGCGUGAUGAUUGGGUGUUCAUGUACAUGUGUGAGACGUGCCACCCUCAAACCUUGUUAUGAGGUCAGCACAUAACCCAUCUGACC